rfam:Scytonema millei VB511283 scaffold_228, whole genome shotgun sequence.
GUCAACACCCCUGUCUAAAGGCGAGGGGCUUCCAGCCUCAAACUUUUAGGAUUAGUUGACCAGACUAAGUACUUCGUGUACUACGUUAUUGGCAAGUGUUAAAGUUCCUACCUUGGAAUGCGAAGCUAGUUCCAAGCUCUAGAACCAAAAGAUUAAACAAGUUUAGAGGGUUAAGCUCGUGUCUUUUGGAAAGUACCGACCAAUAACAUUGUCGUUCGCGCAGCGUCUCCCCUUGGGAGAAGCUAACAUUAC